UGCCAGCAGCCGCGGUAAUACGAAGGGGGCUAGCGUUGUUCGGAAUUACUGGGCGUAAAGCGCACGUAGGCGGACUUUUAAGUCAGAUGUGAAAUCCCGGGGCUCAACCUCGGAACUGCAUUUGAAACUGGAAGUCUGGAGUUCAGGAGAGGUUAGCGGAAUACCGAGUGUAGAGGUGAAAUUCGUAGAUAUCAGGAGGAAUACCGAUGGCGAAGGCAGCUUUCUGGACCGAUACUGACGCUGAGACGCGAAAGCGUGGGGAGCAAACAGGAUUAGAUA
rnacentral:rRNA from 1 species